rnacentral:misc_RNA from 1 species
GGUUGCUCAUCAUUGUCUAUUGAAGGCCCAUUGCGCAAAGGUUCUCUCGUGAAUUCAUCAUAUAUCAUGCUGAAAGAAGUUGGAGGAGGGGUAGCCAAGAAGUUGAGACCAAUGUAAAAUCCUACAGCUAGUGCUAUAGUCAUCAUCGCAUAAGCUGGCGCAGCUAAUGCCCAGUACCUGCUUGGAUAGUAAACAAUUCCCAAAGAGUGCAACCAAUGUUCGGGAAGAUAUGCCCACACCAGAAAAAGAACUGUAGCAACAACAGUAGUAAUGGAGCCAACAAAUCCGUAAACUUCAGAAGUCUUGGGUCCCUGAUCUCCAGAAACACCAAAACCUGAAUCUCUGUCGUCUGGGUCUGGAAAGAACACAGUGGCCUUCCUAUUCUUGGAAAAACUCAAGAUCCUCCUAGGGCUAUUAACGGAACGAGGAUCUUCCCAACCUUUAUCUUCCAGCAUCACGAUAUCUAAGAAGGUCCAAGGUGUCACUCUGAGUAAGAAUUAUACCGAAUUACUUGAGCUGCUACGCAAUUUGAAGACAUCUCAGCUACUGAAAUUGAAAAGGAUAAGCAAAUUAUAGA